rnacentral:lncRNA from 1 species
CUACCCCUAGUAAACUUUUACUGGGGGUAGUAAACUCAAAAUAAAGUUUCUCCAUGACCAUUAUACACCUUAAAACAAUGAAAAAUCAACUUAGAUGCGAAAAAAUGAAGUUUACUACCCCUAGUAAACUUUUACUAGGGGUAGUAAACUUGCAAAACAAUAGCUCCAAUGCCAUAAUUCACAUUGAAAAGGAGAAAAAUCAACUUAGAUGCGAAAAAAUGAAGUUUACUACCCCUAGUAAACUUUUACUAGGGGUAGUAAACUUGCAAAACAGUAGCUCCAAUGUCAUAAUUCACAUUGAAAAGGAGAAAAAUCAACUUAGAUGCAAAAAAAUGAAGUUUACCCCUAGUAAACUUUUACUGGGAGUAGUAAACUUGUAAAACAGUAGCUUCAAUGCCAUAAUUCACAUUGAAAAGGAGAAAAAUCAACUUAGAUGACGAAAAAAUGAAGUUUACUACCCCUAGUAAACUUUUACUGGGAUAGUAAACUUGCAAAACAGUAGCUCCAAUGCCAUAAUUCACAUUGAAAAGGAGAAAAAUCAACUUAGAUGCGAAAAAAUGAAGUUUACUACCCUAGUAAACUUUUACUGGGGGUAGUGGUAGUAAACUUUUACUGGGGGUAGUAAACUUGCAAAACAGUAGCUCCACUGUCAUAAUUCACAUUGAAAAGGAGAAAAAAUCAACUUAGAUGCGAAAAAAAUAAAGUUUACUACCCCUAGUAAACUUUUACAGGGGGUAGUAAACUUGCAAAACAGUAGCUCGAAUGCCAUAAUUCACAU